GUUCGGCAGGAGUGCACGAACGGCCCAGUGUUCGGGAGUUUUACCUGACUAUGUUAUACCCCAGAUAGGAAUCCCAUGGAGCCCAUUCGUAUGAUAACUGACUUUGUAAAGACUUUGGCUCCAUGGCGAUUAAACUGUAUCCGUGUGGUCUAAGCGCCAUUCGCUUAAUAAUGUGCGCUCAGACCUGAGCUAUCUGGGGAUAGGUUAAAU